rnacentral:lncRNA from 1 species
AAAACAUCUGACUUGUAACUCUGAUUCACCUCUGUUUGACUGGACAGCAUGCUCUUGUGUCUUAGUGGCGUUCAAAAGGGAGUGGACACCAUAGGUUGACAGAACACUGAGUGUGGCCCCAGCAAGCCAGAGAGAGACAGAUAAUUGUAUUUCCUGCUACUGCUUUGCCCUUCAGCUUUGUGGCCAGUUUAAAGCUCCAGGCUGCUUCCCUGGUUCCUUUUUAAUUAAGCAGAGGAUUAAGCAAGAAGCUUGAGGAUUGCUUGCUGAAAGAAACUGAUUAAAAAAAAAACCAACAGACAAAAGAUAGACAUAAAGGCUUUCCAUGGAAGCAACUGCAAUUGGCGUCUAGUCAUAAAGAAAUCGUCCAGUUUCAUCCAAAAUGAGAGAAAUGCAAAACUUUCUAAUCUAGUGGAAGAAAUGAUAUGCAUGUAUAAUUAACUUCAAAACGAUGGCAGUGUGUAAUCAAUCAUGGAUUCUUCAGAGAUAGCUGGGUGGUGAGUUAGAUCUGCUCACGCAGGCAGAGCAUGCGUAGUCGGAGCAUCUGUGGCUGGCACUGGAGACCUGGAGCACAUCCUCCUCUGGUUUGAUUGUUUUCUGCUUCAAAUACAGAAAUCGCAGAAGAGCUUGGUGAGUGUGUAACAAAGGGUCAUCAGAGUCAACUGAAUUUGUCUUAUUUUUGUUGUUUCUGCCUCUGAAAGGGGAGGUUGGCAGCAUUGUCCAUGGCCAGCGGCCAUUGGAAGGCUUCAUUACUAGGUCACCUGGCCAUCUGUCUCUGGAUUUUUUUUUUUAAAGUCUUGAAUUGACAAUAUAGCUGGGAUUGGCCUUAAACUCCUGGCAGUACUCAUGGUUCAAGGGCCUAAGUGCUGCGAUUAUAGGUGUGUGCUACCACAUUUGGGCCUCUGAAAUAUUUCAGAGUCAGGGAUAGAUGAGGUGUCUCUUCAAAUACAUACAUGUUUGGCUUUCCUCCUUGGGUUUCCUGGGAAAAC